rnacentral:rRNA from 1 species
UACGUAGGGGGCAAGCGUUGUCCGGAAUCACUGGGCGUAAAGGGCGCGUAGGUGGCGCGGCAAGUCAACGGUGAAAGCUCGACGCUCAACGUCGAGUCGGCCGUCGAUACUGCUGGGCUUGAGCACUGUAGAGGCAGAUGGAAUUCCGGGUGUAGCGGUGGAAUGCGUAGAGAUCCGGAAGAACACCGGUGGCGAAGGCGGUCUGCUGGGCAGUAGCUGACACUGAGGCGCGACAGCGUGGGGAGCAAACAGG